AGACUGAUUAAUGAUUAUAAAACAUUGUAAAACCUUCAGAGGGAAAGAAUAUUUUGUGAACCAUUGGUUUUUUCUCUGUGUGAGGCAGUUUUUAAGUUAUUUGUUUUUAAAAUCAGU
rnacentral:miRNA from 1 species